rnacentral:rRNA from 1 species
AGUGAACGCUGGCGGUAGGCCUAACACAUGCAAGUCGAACGGCAGCACAGUAAGAGCUUGCUCUUACGGGUGGCGAGUGGCGGACGGGUGAGGAAUACAUCGGAAUCUACUUUUUCGUGGGGGAUAACGUAGGGAAACUUACGCUAAUACCGCAUACGACCUACGGGUGAAAGCAGGGGAUCUUCGGACCUUGCGCGAUUGAAUGAGCCGAUGUCGGAUUAGCUAGUUGGCGGGGUAAAGGCCCACCAAGGCGACGAUCCGUAGCUGGUCUGAGAGGAUGAUCAGCCACACUGGAACUGAGACACGGUCCAGACUCCUACGGGAGGCAGCAGUGGGGAAUAUUGGACAAUGGGCGCAAGCCUGAUCCAGCCAUACCGCGUGGGUGAAGAAGGCCUUCGGGUUGUAAAGCCCUUUUGUUGGGGAAGAAAAGCAGCAGGUUAAUACCCCGCUGUUCUGACGGUACCCAAAGAAUAAGCACCGGCUAACUUCGAG